AAGGUACUAUAUAUACUCUUUAAAACAAUGCCUCCUUGCGUUAUGAUUGUUAUGCAAGUGUAUAUAAACUCAUUUCAGGAGCCAUGAAUCAGCUGGCUAGAAACUUAGCUUGCGAAUGGGCGAGCGACAACAUAAGGACUAACGCUAUUUGUCCAGGGGUAAUCAAAACUCCUUUGAUUAGUGAUGUAAGGCCAAUUUCUCCUUAGUAUUAUGAGAAUAAAAAAGAUUACUUUUGAUUUUAAGUUUUUAAUGUAUAUGAAAAUCCCUCAGCUUCUCAGUGAUGAAGAGAUUAAAAAAGAAGCAGAGCAACGGACACCGAUGGGGCGCGUUGGAGAGGCAAAUGAAGUCUCACCGCUUGUAGCGUUUCUCUGUCUUCCUGCAGCUUCUUAUAUUACUGGUCAGACCAUUUGUGUUGAUGGAGGUCUCACUGUUAAUGGCUUCUCCUAUCAGCCACAGGCUUGAGCUAGGUCUUAUGUUGUGUGUGUUGUCCAAUGAAAACAGUUAAAAAAGAAAAUAGCAUCGGUGCUAGUGCACAAAACAUAUGAGGGUCUUAAUUAAACAUAUAUGAUACUAUACUUUCUUUUUUUUUUUUUUUUUUUUUUUUUUGAAUAAAAUGUAAAAUUUAUUCGAAAAAAUCGUUUGUACAUCAAGUGCAACUGUAGCUUAAAGCUUGUUGGCUUUACAUUUGCUAAAUGGUCAAAAGGAAAACAAGAGCAUUCCUAUCUUGUAUCAAACCAGGUUAUCAUGCAUCUCUCAUAUCUUCCGUCUCCUUUGUCUCUAAUGGUAGAGAGCUUGUUUCGAACCUCCUUGUCAAGCCUUUUUAGUAAAAGGGCUGAUGGAAGUGGUUCUUCGCCAUGUCUUCUGCUAUUCCUUUCUUUCCAUAUCGAGUACACUAGAAUUUGGAAAGCAUAUCUCAACAAAAAUAAACGAUUGUUACCCAAUGUCUUGUCCGUGAGGAGUUUGAGUAUGGUAGUCCAAUCCGUAGAGUAGUGUCUAGUUAGCAGCUUUGAGGUGAGCCCUGACCAGACUUCUCUUGAGUAUCGACAUGUGAAGAAUAGGUGAUUCCUAGUUUCCGUUUGCUCUUGGCAGAACACACAUGAGAGAUUAACCCCAGCAUUCCAACUCAUCAUUCUGUCUCCCGUUGAUAAUCGGUUCUUUGUUGCUAGCCAAGUUAUGAAGGAGUAUUUUGGGGUGGCGUGUGAGAACCAUAUACCCUGAUACCAUUCAUUACGUGGCUUUUGUUCACGAGUGUCAGCCCAUGUUUCUUUGGUGCUGAAGCUAGGCUUGAACCGGCCUCCUUUUCCUUUCCAAAGGACCACAUCCUCUGUUUCUACAAGUCCCUUAGUGCGCAGCUCUUCUAACUGUGCUUCCAUUUGGUUAAGAUGAUCAGCUCGGUGCCUCCUUCGUCUAUGUGUUAAUGCUUCUGCUACAGUGGCAUGUAUAUCAAUUCCCAUGUCAAUGCAGCCCCGUGUUCCCGAAAUCGCAAUCAACGGGCCUAGAGGUGACCAGUUAUCAUGCCAAAAGGAGACGCCCUUUCCAUUGCGGAUCUCAUACUGUGUAAAACCGGAAGCUAAGUGACGAUACUUUAGUAGCUUCCUCCACAUCCAAGACCCUAACGUUGAUGUGUCUCUUAGCGACCAGAAUGAACCCUUACGUAUCACAUAUUGCCUUAGCCAUUGUACCCACAGCGAGCUUGAUGACAACAGUCUCCAGAUAAGUUUUAGGCAACAAACCUUGUUUGCUUCUGUUAAGGAACGGAGCCCCAGCCCUCCCUCUUCCUUUGGCAUACAUACAUCGUUCCAUGAUACUUUAGCUUUUUUUCUAUUUAACUCGGGGCCGGACCAAAGAAAAGCAGAGCACAAGCCAUCUAUCUCUUUGAUGCAUGCAUUCGGUAGCCUAAAAGCGGACAUCCAAAAGUUUGUGAGACUAUGGAUCACUGAGCUUAUGAGUUGUAAACGCCCUGCGAAUGAAAGGUGUCUAGCCGUCCAGCAACUAAUUCGUUCUCGGAUUCUUUCAAUGAGAGGGAUAUAGUCACUUGUCGUCAUUCUUUUGGUUAAUAGUGGUAAGCCAAGAUAACGAACUGGUAGGGUACCUGAUUCAAAAGGAAAGGAGUAUAGAAUUAAUUCCUUGUCACUGUCUCUGACUCCCGCCAUAUAUAAUGUUGACUUCUCAAGACUGAUUUUUAAUCCAGAGAAUUUUGCAAAUUUAUCAAAGGUCUGCAAAACGCUUUCAAUAGAUCUUUUUUUUCCAUCUGUGAAUAUCAAUAGAUCGUCUGCGAAACACAAAUGUGUGAGCUUCAGAUUUUGACAUCGAGGAUGGUAGCCUAUGAUUCUCUCCAAGGCAGCGUUGUCAAGCAUUGUGGACAGAACUUGCAUACAGAUUACAAAGAGGUAGGGAGAUAAUGAGCAUCCUUGUCGAAGACCCCUCUCGCUUCAAAACAGACCAGACAAUUCACCAUUAACCUGUACUGAGAAGGAGGCGGUGGUAAUACAGAGCUCAAUCCAUUUUAUGAAUCGUGGUGGAAAAUUGAGGGCUGAUAGUGUAGUUAAGAGAAACGGCCACUGAACCGAAUCUAACGCUUUUGAUAUAUCAAUCUUUAUUGCACUCCGGGAAGAGAUCGUGUCUUUGUGGUAGUCUUUAACUAUUUCUGAUGCCAAUAAUACAUUUUCCAUCAAAAGACGAUCUUUAACGAAAGCCGACUGGUUUGGAGAUAUGAACUCCGGGAGCAGUCUUUUGAGUCUAUUUGCUAUAAUCUUUGAUAUGACCUUGUAUAUCACGUUGCAGCAAGAAAUUGGCCUAUAAUCCUUCAUCUCCGUGGCCUCUUUCUUUUUUGGUAUGAGCGCUAAGAUUGUAGUGUUUACUCCCUUAGGUAUAAAGCCAUAUAAAAAGAAAGAUUGUACUGCAACUUCAAAAUCUUUCUUUACUAUUGGCCAUGCUUCUUUUAAAAACAUCACAGUAUAUCCAUCCGGCCCCGGACUUUUAUCCCUUGGCAUGGAGAAUAAUACUUCCCUGAUUUCCUCUAUAGAUACAUCGCUUUCAAGCUGCAUCCCAUCUGCUUCGGAACAUCUGUAUUUCACUAAAUCUCGUAUCUCUUCCUCUGAUAUACCCUGGUAGUGAGCUGGUUUGUGAGCCAAAAAAUCAUGGAAAAAUCUUUCAGCCUCUUUCUUGAUCUCUUCUUGAGUGUUGACUAUAGUACCAUCAGGGCAUUUGAUUUCUUUAAUCGCAUUACGAACUUCCCUAACCUUUGCAGCCUUGUGAAACACCUUAUUAUUACCAUCUCCAACUUUCAACCAGUGAAGUUUUGAUUUUUGUUUCAGCACUUUCUCCUCCAAGUCCGACAAAUGCAACCAACGACUGUGGGCUGCAGCUUCUGCUUGCAUUGUCGUAUUUGUUGGAUUUUGCAUCCAAGAAAAACAUGUUACUGACACCAAUUUCCCAUUAUUUAUUUUGCUUAUGCAGAGGUAUUAUAUAUAUGUAAUCUCCAAGUGAAUCAUGAGAAUGUUCUUAGACUUCUCUACUAUCUUAGAGAUUAGUUCUCGUCUAAAUCCUAACUAAGAUAAAAAUUAGCAUAGUUGUUAAAUCCAAGACGUGCCAUACCAAAAGAACUAGCUGGUUUUGUUAUUAGGAAUCUCACAUUUAUAUAUCAAGAGAGCAACGGCCUAAUCCUCAGAAUCUCUCCCUUCUUGCUUCUUCGUUUAGAGUGUUCCAAACUCAGUAUUACUACUCUCCUGUAAUAUGCUCUGUUCUAAGUCUUUUUGUUGGCGUAACUCAUGUUAGGAGGCACCAUAUAUUUCGGCUGCAGGUUCCAUCGUUUUGGAAUGCAGUAUUUUUAUAAAAAGGUAUUUGAUAUAUAAAAAAAAGAUGUGAUAGAGAGAUUUCUUUCUUCUUUAGUGGAUUUCAGAGGGCAAAACGCAAAAACCAAUUGGCUUUGGCUCAUGGGGUUCUUCCCGUUAGAGAGGAUCAUAUAUAUUCCCAAUUGUAAAGUCGAUGAACCCUAUUGGGUCUAGGGUUAUGAUUCCACAAGAAGAUCCACAAGCUUCUUCUACUCCAAAGCCAAUUGGCAAACAAUAGCAUAACUCAGGCUUCUUAUAUACCAGAUUAAAUUCUUAUAUGUUUCCGAUGUGGGACUCAUUAAGGUUAAUUUUCUUGCCGAUAUUAUUUUUACACGUUCACGUAACUUAAACCUCAAGUAAUUUGUAUUGCCCUAAGGUGAGACCAAAACCUUUAGUGGGCUUAUGGGCCAAAAUAAGCCCGCUUGAUAAGAGAAGCUUCCGCUAAAAACUAGGUCUGGGCUUUCGGUUAACUGUUCGGUUAUCGGUUGGGUCCAUUCGGUUUCGGUUCUUUCGGUUCUAAAAUUUAGUAUCCAUUCGAAUAUUUUGAAAUUUCGGUUCGGUUUCGGUUCGGUUCCGGUUCUUUCGGUUUUAAAAUUUAAGGGGGUUAUUGGAUCAUUGAUUUGAAUGGAUUUGGAAAUCCAAGUAAAAUUAUGUGUUAUUCAAUCAUUGAUUUUAAAUUUUUUAUAAAAAUCAUGUGUUAUUGGUUCUAUGAUUUACAAAUACUUUUUAAAAUCACCCCAUAUUCAAUAUUGAAGAUUUGAGUAUGGAUUUGACUUCAUAUUGGAUUUGAAUGGAAUUGAAUAUAUGUUUUACUUAUAAAUAGAGUGAUUGAAAUCCUUGGGUUCCACCUAGUUAUUUGGGUGGAUUUGGAAGAAAACAAUAUUAGCAGUUUCUAUUUUCCUUGAUUUUUUAAUUAUCAUGUCAUUUACUUGUAAGAAAAGUUUUACGAGUUAUAUUUUUUGUGUCACAGGUGUACAUCAUCAAACAUGGAUCAAGCCCAUCAUGGAGAUCAAGAAGUCCUUGAAGAAAGAGAAAGAAAUGCAUUACAUGAUGACGAGUUGGAUGCUGAUAUUAUUUUGUUGGUGCUAUUUGGAAGACACCAUUCGGUUAUUUUGCUUAGAAUAUUUUCGGAUAUCUCGGUUAUUUUUGAGUAUUUUCGGAUAUUUUUGGAUAUAUUUCGGUUAUUUUCGAGUAUUUUUACUACUUUUAUAAAAUUUUCAAGUAUUUUUGAUUAUUUGAUCUAUAAAUAACUAAUUAUUUUGAAAAUAUAAUUGUAUUUCGGGUAUUUCGGUUACCCGAAAGAUUUCGAUUCGGUACCGAUUCGGUUACGGUUAUUUCGGUUAUAAAAUUUAGUAUCCAUUCGGUUAUUUUCAAAUGUUCGGUUCGGUUAUUUUUGCUUCGGUUUCGGUUCGGUACAUUCGAUUCGGUUUAUUUGCCCAGGCCUACUAAAAACCCAUGCACGUAGCUUUCUCUGUUUCUCCACUUCGUUGGAUCAAAUUCAAUAGAAUGAAACUGAUCCUGAAGAUUUCUUGGUGAAUCCUAAUUAAACGAAUUGAUUUUAGAACUAUGAAUGGAGCUACGCAAUAAUAUAGUUGUCUUGAUUAAUAUUACAAUAUACAAAAAAAUGAUUUGAAAUAGAAAGCUUGAUCAGUUGGCAACUUUGGAUUUUUAGGUCAAGCCUUAAAACUACAUUCAUUUUGGGACUAAGAAACCUAACCAGAAGAUGUUUCUGGUAAGAGACUAAGAGUAAGCCUAGCAGUAACAGAACAGACGAAAGCAGAGAAGAGCACAACUUGGACUCAAAUGAGAAGAUGGACUUCGAAACUCAUCGCCUAUCAUGCCCAAAGACAGAAUCAUGUGGCAUUACACCAUGCUUUAAAUAUUAAAAUCCCUAUGCAAUGAUGACUCAAUGGACAUCUUCUCUCUCUUACUACUACAUAAAUUCUCAUCCACACAUACAAACAUACUCAAUAUUUCACACUUAUCUGAUCCCAUACUCAAUAAUUCAUUUCUAUAUAUAUAAUAUGUGGCAUUUCUGGUCCCUGCUAGUAACAACCAAGAAAAAUGGAUAAAAGAUGGAGUCUUCAAUGUAUGACUGCUCUUGUCACCGGUGCAGCCAGCGGAAUCGGGUUCGUCUUACUUCUCUGUUCUCUAUAUCAUAUUUUUAGCUCAUUGUUCUGCUUAUAUUUCACAUCCUAAUUUUCAAGAAAGUAAUUUAUGUUUCUGAAAAUGUUUUAGAUAUGCCAUAGUAGAGGAGUCAGCUGGUUUUGGAGCUAGAAUCCAUGUAUGCGACAUCUCUGAAACUCUUCUCAAUCAAAGUUUAAGUGAAUGGGAAAAGAAAGGGUUUCAAGUGAGUGGUUCAGUCUGUGAUGUAACUUCUCGUCCCGAUAGAGAAAAACUGAUGCAAACCGUUUCCUCGCUGUUUGAUGGCAAACUCAACAUUCUUGUAAGUAAACGAUCUUAUAGAAAUGCCAAGCAUAGUUGUUUAAAUGGAGCUCCUUAAAAUAAAUCUUAAUAUAUAGGUAAACAAUGUUGGUGUACUUCGCGGGAAGCCAACAACGGAAUAUGUGGCAGAUGAUUUCUCUUUUCACAUCUCAACAAAUUUGGAAGCUGCUUUCCAUUUUAGCCAGCUUUCACAUCCUCUCUUAAAGGCUUCAGGAUUUGGAAGCAUCGUCUUUAUGUCCUCUGUCACAGGGAUUGUAUCAGUUGAAUGUGGAUCCAUUUAUGGUCUAACGAAAGGUAACCAAGUUGCUACUAGAGGAAGUUUAUUGCAAGACUGACUAGUCAAGAAGUAGUUUUCAAUUUUUGUUUUUUUUUUUCUGUUGAUUUCUUUUAUAGGAGCUUUGAAUCAGUUAACUAGAAAUUUGGCAUGUGAAUGGGCAAAAGAUGGCAUAAGAGCCAAUGCUGUUGCACCUAAUGUUGUCAAGACUCCUCUGUCUCAAUCUGUAAUAAAAAAAAGACAACAUUUACUCUUUUUUUUAUGUGAAUGUAAUUAAUCUCAAUUCCUCUAAUUAUUUCUUAAUUGUGUGUUCUUGAAGUAUCUCGAGGACGUCGGUUUCAAGGAGGCAUUAUUUGGUAGAACUCCACUUGGUUGCGCUGGAGAGCCGAAUGAAGUUGCAUCACUAGUGGUCUUCUUGUGUCUACCUGCAGCUUCUUAUAUUACUGGUCAAACCAUUUGUGUUGAUGGAGGCCUCACGGUUAAUGGUUUCUCCUAUCAACCACAG
rnacentral:lncRNA from 1 species